GGACCACUGCCAGGACCUCAUCUUUUACUCUGGGUGACCCGGAGCCACAGGAGGGUGUGAAGCAGGGGAAAAACACGACCUGGCUUCCUCCGGGUAGGGAGGGAUGGCAGGAUGGGGGACACGGUUUGAAAGACACGGCAAUCAUCCAGGCAAGCGUUUGGUGACUCACACCAGGGUGGGGCUUUGGAGCGGGGAGAGGGAGUGAAGUGAUAGGAUCCUUCUGCAGCCCAUGGGUGAGAAAGAGAGGAGUCAGUGAGGACUGGAAGGCUUUUGGCCUGCGGCCCUGGGAAGACAGAGGUGGUGUGUUCCGCAAUGAAGCUGCAGGAGGGGCGGGGUCACGCAGGGCGGAGAGGAAGUUCAGUUUCUUACCUGGAGCUCUUGAGUUGCCCAUUAGGCAUGUGGAGCCACAGCUGGAUAUUCAACCCUGAGUUCAGGUUGGACAGCAAGUAAAGGUUCAGCUGAAAAGGGGUUUUGCCUACUUUGAAGCAAAAUGUUUGAAAAGCUUUGAUCUUGAAUAAUCUCAUUCUACUGAUGAGAAGACAGGGACCCAGAAAGGAGAGGAAAAAAAAGAUGGUCCCAGACUCAGGCAGACCUGACUCUGGCUGAGUGCCUUACGUGGACAGAAAGAGCACAGGACCCCGCACAGCAUAGGUGUUCUGGGGACCCCGAGCCUGCUGGACACAUGAAAUGAACCUAAGGACCAUCUUUGGGCCUUAUUUUCUGCACCUGUGACCUCAAUGCUUUCCACCGACAUGUACACAGAACCUCUCAACCGCGUGGUGAGAGGACAAACCUGAGGCUCAGAGAGAUAACGUCACUGGCCCCAAGUCACACAGCCAGGAGGUGGAGGAGCCAAGAUUCAAGCCAAGAUCUGUUUGAUUCCAGAACCAAGGCUGCCUUACUGGGCCAGUGAAGCACCUGGGACUCUGGCUUCUUCGGUGCUCCCCCUGUGAUUCUGACGUGCAGCCUCCACCAGAGCAGUGAGGUGUGGGGAGAACGUCUGGUUUGGGGCGUGCAGGCUCCAGUACUGCCUCGCAGCCUGUUUCCCCAUGUGACACGGGGGUGAUGGCAGCGCCUGCCCUGGGGGGUUCCAGAGCAUGGAGUGAUCUAAGUAGAGUGCCUGUAGCGCCGUAAGCACUGGGGGCCAUCCUGCAAGUGUGCUGGCAGCAGCAGCAUUGCCACUGGGCUAGGGGCUGAUGGCCGUCCUGCUCCUUCUCACAGCUCCCCUGGGUACAAGCAUGUCAGCCUCCUAGUUAAGAACUUGAGACAAGCUGGAGAAGACCUCUGGGGGCAUUCAAGAGCCACAGCAUCUGAGUGCAGAGUAGGGGUGCUAAUGCGACUCUGGAAAUACAUCUUACAUGAGUACACGUGUCCACAGAUGUGUGGCCAGGUGACCGCUACUGUGCAAAAGCCAGGAAGCAAGCCUGAUCGUGGUAACAACCGAUGUGUAUUUAGAGCAGGUUUUCUCAACUCAGACGCAUUGAAAUUUGAGACCAGAUAAUUCUUUGCUUUGUGCGUGUUUGGGAGGUGGGGUUGUCUGGCCUGCACUGUAGAGUGUUUAGCAGCAUCCAUGGCCUCAUCCACUAGAUGCCAGUAGCACCCCCAAACCCCCGCCCUUAGUUGACAACCAAAAAUGUCUCUAGACAUUGCCAAAUGUCCCCUGGGGGACAAAACCACUCCCAGCUGAGAACCUCCGGUUUUGCGCUGGAUCUGUGUACGCGUCUUACCCUCACCACCUCCUCCCAGCCUCCUCACACCUGGAGAUGGAUGCUGUCCGUCCUUCCACUCUGCAGAUGCAGGGACAGGGACGUUAGUGGUCUGACCAAGGUCACGUUGCUGGCAUUUCAGCAAAGCCGAGACUCGAACUUGUAAUAACCCAGAUCUCUCUUUUUCUAGUCGCUUUCUGUGGGUUCCUUGGACUUCAUUCACAAUCAUGCCUGAGACUAGAGAUAAUUUCAUUUUGUCUAUCCCCAUCUGGCUGCCUUGGCACAAUUGAGGACAGAACUUGCAUGGCACAAAUUAUAGCUCCAGUAGAUUCUGUGAUCUGCACAGAGACUUUCUUUUGGGGAGUUAAGUUUGCUCAACUAUCGACAAUUUGGAAAAUAUAGAAGAAAGAGAAAAAAAAUGAAAUUUGUUACUGGACUGCCCACUAAGGCCAACUUGCUAGCAGUUUUGUCCUCUGAGUAGCUUUCUCUGCUUUGAAAUUUUGUUACACAGUUGCAAUUACACUUCAUAUACAAUUUCAAAUCCCACUUUUCCCAAACUAUACAGGAUCAUAUUUUCAUGUUACUACAAAAUCCUCUUCGACAUUAUUUUUAAUUGUUGCCUAUUGUGGUAGAGACCCCUGCUUCUCCCCAACUCUCUCAUCUUUCCCUCUUCUUUAGUAACAGAAAUCCCAUGCCCAUUUGGUUAAGCAUGUGCUCACCCUGAAAAAAAAACACACCCAAAACUACAUUUCCCACACUCCCUUGCAGUUAGGUGUGUUCAUGUGACUAAAUUCUGGCCAGUGGAAUAUAAGUAACUUCUAAGUAGUGUCCUCAGGGAGAGGAUACCUGCUCUUCUUCCCACCCUCCUUGCUGGCUGGAAUGCAGAGGUAAUGGCCAGAACCUAAGAGGCUAUUUUGGGCUAUGGUGGAGCAACAAGAGAAAAGGAACCUGAAUCCCUGAGUAGUUUACGAAGUCAUCCACUAGCCUGGAGUGCCGCCUCCACGUUUCCUUUACCUAAGAGAAAAGCCAACUUCUAUUUUAUUUCAGCUCCUGUUACUUUGAUUUCACAGUCACUCCAAGAUGACCCUAAUCCUGAGCAUUGCACUGAUACUUUGCCAGGGGAAUCGUCACACACAUUCUUUGGGGAUUAUCACUUAAUUAACGAAACCAUUCCUUGGUCAGUGGGCAUUUAGGUCGCUUCUGACUCCUCACUAUAAAUAACUCUGUUGUGAACAUCUUUGUGCAUUUUCAUUAUUUCUGAUUAUUUCCUCACUACAGAAUUCCAGAAAAGGGAUUUGGAGGUCAAAGAACAUGAGCAUCCCUAAUACCCGUUCAUGCUUGUGACCUAACUGCUUUCCAAAGUGACAUGCAUGCCCCCCUUCCCCAAAGCAGGGGAAGUGGGGCUCCAUGGUGGAGCCAGGGUAACAAUUCUAACAUUCAAAACCUUUGCCUCCAGUCACCAAGGUGGAAUCAUGGAUAGUCAUUUUCUAAUAGUUCUUGAAUAAAAGAGAAUGAUAAGAAAUAAUUGGCCAUGAAGCUGAAGAACCUAGAAUGAUCUACUGUCAGUCAGGGGGGUCUGAGUUGCAAGCAGUAGAAGCCACCACUUGGCUAGUUUCCAAGGUUAUGGGGUGGUUCUUAGCAUGAGACCCAGGAUUUAUGGGCGAGCGGCCCCCGCGAGCCUGCCAUUUCCCAGAGGGCCCCCCCCCACUGCACCGUCCAGGGCCGGGCCCACGCUCUUCCCCAGCUCUUGUCCUGUGCUUCUUGUCUGAUUGCACAUCUCUGGCAGCAUGUCUAGUCGAUGAAGCCCAAAUCCCACGCUUGCACCAACCUGCAAGGGAGGCUGGGAAAGCGAGUUUUCUGGCAUCUUCCUUGGAAGGUAUAGCUACUAAGGUAGGAGCUUCCCUGAAGGAGGUAUGCAAGGUAUGGAGCAGCCAGAAAGUAGGGCAAAGCUUAGUGCCCAAGUAAAGACGCUGGGCUUGUGGGAGAAAUCCAAAAAGGUUUCUGGCCUCACUUUUUUAUUUCUCUUCCACUUAUGGUGAAAGAAUAGCAGGGAGAAGUACAGACGGCAAGGCAAUCAUCUGCAUGUGUGUCUCCCUUGCAGUUACCCAGCUAGGCAAAUGCUGAGUUAGAGCUGGGAACCCAUGUCCCUCAGGCCCUAAGCCCUGUUCUCUCCGGGCCGCCUGCAGCCAGCAAGUCAUCGGAUGCCGUUAUCUGGUGUAGAUGUGUUUCCUGGACCACUGACCACAUCCUUCAGAUGGGCCCUGGCACACAGUAGGUGCUCAAUGUGCUGGCCGGGCCAAUAGACAAAUGAAGGAGGAACCUUAGAGCCCUGGAACUAACAUGGAUGGAUUCAACCAAGAGUUUCUGAGCAGCUGCAAUACCCCAGGCCCUGGGUUAGGUGCUGAGGAUACUGUGGGGAGAAAACAAACCAAGUUCAUGCCCUCAUAGUGGGCGAGAUGGACAAUAAAUAAGAAAACCCCAAUAUACUAACAUAACACAAGGUAAUAGGAUACGAAACCAGGUGCUGAGAAAUGUUUUAUGAAGAAAUGUAAAACUGGAUAAGUGACUUCGAGAUGCUAAUGCAGAAAAAUGGUUGACCAAGUCCUCUCUGAGGGGGUGACAUUUGAGCAGAGGCCUGAAGAAUGCACGAGAGAAGUAUAUUCCAGGCACAGGAGGCAACCAGUGCAAAGGCCCUGAGGCCUACUGUGUGCUGACACUGCUGGGGGUAGGGACGCUCGCAGGACCGCCCCAGCCUCCUGGAACUCCGAGCACAACGGGGAAGACAGAUAAUGAUCAGAGAUCAGUGCACAAACAUCAUCACAGACUUUGAUCAACACUGAGAAGAAAAGAUACUUGUGCUUCAAGAAUGCGCACCUACACGAAGCUAUGGAAAUAGGCCGCGAGGAUUUACUCCACAAUGUUAAAGGGGUAGUAGCAUUGCAGGUGAUUCUGCCUGUUUCCUUUUCUUUUGCUUGUCUGUCCGUUCUAAUUUCUCUUUUCUUUUCUUUUUUUUUUUUUUGAAUGUCAUGCUUCAUAAUUGAGUGAAUUAAAAACACAAACAAACCCACAAUGAAUAGAGGGGUUGGAAAUCAUGUGUCCAAAGAUGAUUUAACGCCAGGAAAGAAAGGAAAGACACGCAAGAAACUGCUCACUGUGUUGGCUUCCGGGCAGAGGAGCCAGAGGCUGGGGAGGGAAAGAGCUUCUCUUCUCACUGGACACCCUUCGAACCUUUCCGACGUGUGUGCAUUCAAAAAACAAUAAAAAUAAAAUUAGCAAAGGUAUUUUUUUAAUGAAACUUCAAGUUGGGUUUUAUUUCUAUGAAAAAUGAAAAAGCAGGCAAUGGGAGGAUCGCAAUCUAAAUACAUUAACUGAGCCGAAUUUCCACGAAAAUGUUAGGAUGCUUCUCUCUGGGUGACCUUGUUUUCUUCUUUGUAUUUUUCUGUAUCUCCUGUAUUUAAAGUUAGAAGAACAGCCCUAGCUGGUUUGGCUCAGUGGAUAGAGUGUCGGCCUGCAAACCAAAGGGUCCUGGGUUCAA